rnacentral:lncRNA from 1 species
UUGGGCCGCUCCCACGGCAUAUGGAGGUUCCCAGGCUAGGGGUCUAAUCGGAGCUGUAGCCACUGGCCUAAGCCAGAGCCACAGCAACGCGGGAUCCGAGCCACGUCUGCAACCUACACCACAGCUCACGGCAAUGCCAGAUCAUUACCCCACUGAGCAAGGGCAGGGACCGAACCCGCAACCUCAUGAUUCCUAGUCGGAUUCGUUAACCACUGCGCCGUGACGGGAACUCCUGUACUUUUAUUUCUGUUAUUUAUCAGUAAUGAACCCAACUAGUAUCCAUAAGGAUGAGGAUUCGAUCCCCACCCUCAUGCAGGUGGGUUAAGGAUCCAGCAUUGCUGUGAGCUACAGUGUAGGUCACAGAUACAGCUCAGAUCUGGCAUUUCUGUGGCUGUGGUGUAGGCUGGCAGCUGCAGGUCCAAUUAGGCCCCUAGCCUGGGAACUUCCAUAUGCUGGGGGUAUGCCCCCCCCAAAAAAAAGAAGAAUGCACCCCUAUGUUCAUUGCAGCACUAUUCACAAUAGCCAAGACAUGGAAACAACUUAAAUGUCCAUGGACAGAUGAGUGCAUUAAGAAGAUGUGGUAUAUAUACACAAUGGAAUACGACUCAGCCAUUAAAAGAACAAAAUAAUGCUAUUUGCAGCAACGUGGAGGGAACUGGAGAUUCUCAUACAAAGUAAAGUAAGUCAGAAAGAGAAAGACAAAUACCACAUGAUAUCACUCAUAUGUGGACUCCAAACUAUGGCACAGAUGAACCGAUCUAUGGAACAGAAACGGACUCACAGACAUGGAGAAGAGAAGAGACUUGUGGCUGCCAAGGGAUGGAGCGGAAGUGGGAUGGACUGCGUGUUUGGGGUUAGCAGAUGCAAACUAUUACAUUUCGGAUGGAUAAACAACAAGGUCCUACUGUACAGCACAGGGAACUACAUCCAGUCUCCUGGGAUAGACCAUGGUGGAAAAGAAUAUUAAAAAAAGAACAUAGGAGUUCCCAUUGUGGCACAGCGGAAAUGAAUCUGACUAGGAACCAUGAGGUCGCCGGUUUGAUCUCUGGCCUCACUCAAGUGGGUUAAGGAUCCGGCAUUGCCGUGAGCUGUGGUGUAGGUCGCAGACGCGGCUUGAAUCCAGUGUUGCUGUGGCUGUGGUGUAGACCGGCAGCUACAGUUCCAAUUAGACCCCUAGCCUGGGAGCUUCCAUAUGCUGUGGAUGCGGCCCUAAAAAGACAAAAGACAGAAAAAGAAAAAAGUAUAUAUAUAUAUAUAUAACUGAGUCACUUUGCUGUACAGCAGAAAUUGGCACAACAUUGUAAAUCAAAUAUACUUUAAUAAAAUCGGUUCACAUGUUAAAACAUGCAUGUAUUUUGAAAGUGAACACUGUACUAUUAUUCCCUAUGCCCUUGUAUGUGUGAACAUUUUCAUACUAAAAAUAUUAAAGGACUAUGUCACCACCAGCUAUAUAUAGAAAGCCAAGUGCCAAAGUCAUUCUAAACUCCCAAU